GCGAACGUUAGCGGCGCGCCUAACACAUGCAAGUCGCACGAGAAAGGGCUUCGGCCCCCGGUAAAGUGGCGCACGGGUGAGUAACACGUGGGCAACCUGCCCAACCCUGGGGGAUAACCUGCCGAAAGGCGGGCUAAUACCGCGUACGAGGGCUCGACUUCGGUCGGGUUCUGAAAGCAGGCCUCUGAAUUCAAGCUUGUGGGGUUGGAUGGGCCCGCGGUCCAUCAGCUAGUUGGUGAGGUAAUGGCUCACCAAGGCAACGACGGAUAGCUGGUCUGAGAGGAUGAUCAGCCACACUGGAACUGAGACACGGUCCAGACUCCUACGGGAGGCAGCAGUGGGGAAUCUUGCGCAAUGGACGAAAGUCUGACGCAGCGACGCCGCGUGGGUGACGAAGGCCUUCGGG
rnacentral:rRNA from 1 species